GGUCGGGUGGCCAGUGGCUAGGCAGAGGUCUGCAAAACCUUGUACAGCGGUUCAAAUCCGCUCUCGACCU
rnacentral:tRNA from 1 species